rnacentral:lncRNA from 1 species
UGGGUAACCCUCCGGGAAGUGUAGCGUGCUGCGUAUUUGCAUAAAUCCCAGUGGAUUGGGUCACCCGCCGUGUGCCCACGGCUUGAACUCCCAGAGCUGCGCUGCUGGGGGCGAAUCGCUGGAAGAACGUUCGCCUGAGGAGUUCAGUGCUGAUGCUGCUCUUUUCCUUCCCAGCGGCAGAGUUCGGGGAGCCCACUUCCGAGCAGACGGGGACAGCUGCUGGGAAAACUGUUGCUCAAACCGCAGCCCCGGUGUCCUGGAAGCCCCAGGAUUCUUCGGAACAGCCACAGGAGAAGCUCUGCAAGAAUCCAUGUGCGAUGUUUGCUGCUGGAGAGAUCAAAACGCCGACAGGGGAGGGCCUUCUUGACUCACCCAGCAAAACCAUGUCUAUUAAAGAAAGAUUGGCACUGUUGAAGAAAAGCGGAGAGGAAGAUGGGAGAAACAGACUCAGCAGGAGGCAGGAGGGCGGCAAGGCUCCGGCCAGCAGCCUGCACACUCAGGAAGCAGGGCAGUCCCUCAUCAAGAAGGAAGAAGGAGGAGUUGCGGAUGAUAUUGCCAUUUCUAAUCUGCUUUGGCAGGUCACAGAAAGUCGAGAGAGCCAGAUGACGAUUGAGGAAAGGAAGCAGCUCAUCACUGUGAGAGAGGAGGCCUGGAAGACGAGAGGCAGAGGAGCGGCCAACGAUUCCACCCAGUUCACUGUGGCCGGCAGGAUGCUGAAGAAAGGUUUGGCAUCACCCACUGCCAUAACCCCAGUAGCCUCACCCAUUUGCAGUAAAACAAGAGGCACCACACCCGUUUCCAAACCCCUGGAAGAUAUCGAAGCCAGACCAGAUAUGCAGUUAGAAUCGGACCUGAAGUUGGACAGGCUGGAAACCUUUCUGAGAAGGCUGAAUAACAAAGUAAGCGGGAUGCAAGAAACGGUGCUCACUGUCACCGGCAAAUCUGUGGAGGAGGUGAUGAAGGCGGAUGAUGAUGAAACCUUUGCCAGAUCUUACCACAGCGUGGAUUAUAAUACGCCCACAAGUCCUGUGGAGCUGGAUGAGGACUUCAAUGUCAUUUUCAAUCCUUAUGCACCCAAGUGAGUUAUUUGGGUCUGCGUCUUUCCUCCACUGAGAAGGGCUUCCUUCGCCUACACACAGCAUAUCCACCAGGCUCUUUCCCCAUGUGACCUCCUUCUCCUUCUAACUCCAUCACAGGGGCGUUAGUAUUCUAGAGCCAGGGCACGCUGUUGCAGGAGCCAGGGGCACAAAGCCUCCCAGCAGAUAAAACAUGCAGACGGCAGACCAGAUGUGCAGGCAGGCAGACCCGUGUGCCACAGGUGCUUGUCCUGUGCCAUAAAGAAAGUGUCAAUGGAUUUUUCACAUAACUUGAAUACUGUUUUGCAGUUUUUAGGUUUACAUCACUUAGCAGAGUUCAACGCCUGUCUUUCAUUUGACAUAUUUAAUUCUUACUCAUAACUUUGCAAAAUAUUUGGAUGAGAUGGGCUCAAAUUAGUACAGCUCACUAGAAAAUCAGUAAGGCAUGUUACUUAGCCUCCAAUCAUUUACAAAAUCAAUAGAUCUGCGGGUUUUCUCAGUGAUGACUAAGGGUUUCUCUUCCCACGGGAACAUGACUAAACCAACUAGGAAAAGUGAUUAUAGUAUUAGGAGUCCGUCAAUCUCAAGUGCCAGAAAAACAUCCCAAUUCAAACCGACUUCAACCAAAAAGAAAAAUGAGAGGGGUUUACUGGCUCACUGGCUGAACAGUGCGGAGGGGUUUACCAGCUCAUUCGCUGAACAGUGCGGAGGGGUUGACCGGCUCACUCGCUGAACAGUGCCGAGGGGUUGACCGGCUCACUCGCUGAAAAGUGUGGAUGUGGCCUCGGGUUCUAGCGGCCCCUCAGAACACAGUCUGUCUUGGCUUUGGGCUGGCCGCACUCUCCGUCAGGCAGUGGCCUGGCGGCAGAUGGACACCCCAGCUCUGGAGUCACAAGGCUGCCUCCCUGGCCAGCCCAGCACAGGUAGCUUCUCUUCCCAGUAGUCCCAGCAGAAUUUCCAGGUUUGAUUUUCUUGGCUUCAACUGGAGUCCCGUGUCCAUCCCUAAACCAGUCACUGUGGCCAAUGGGAUGGAAGAUGCCGACUGGCUAAAGGCGGGUCUCUGGGUCUCCUCUAGAGCCACGGUGGGGGCGCAGGGAGGUGGUUUCCCCAAAGGAAAAUCCAGAUGCUAUUACAGAAGCAGAGGAGGACACGCUGGACAGGCUCCACCCACGGCAGUCCACCACGCCCAUCGGGUCUUUCCUGCGAAAUUGUCAGAGUGACAAUCUCUUCCAUUAUCAUAUAUUUAAACUGCUCUCGAGAUAUUUUUUGCAUGUUUAAGUUUGUUCAAUUUGUUUCAAUUUGCAUAUUUUAAUUUCCUACCUUAAAAAAUGAACCCUUUGCCAUUUUCCACCUCAAAAUAGUAUUUUGGGUAUUUGCAUACGUAGCUAUUUAACCACUUCGCAAUCUUCCACCCACCUAAUGUCACUGUUUAAAUAGUUGUAUAUCAUAAUUUAAACAUGUAUGUAUGUUGAUACACACAUAUGACACCAUGGUAUGUAAAGAGGCCUUUCGGGCACAGAGGCCUGCGCAGCUGGAGGUGGAGAGUGGCAGCGGGAGUCUGUUGGGAGAUCGCUUCGCUCGGUCUGCUCACCUCCCCGGGUCUGGUUUUCCACCCCAGAGUUGUGAGAAUGUGGGGUGGUCACAGAUGGUUGCGGGCCCAUUUUAUUUCAGAUAUUCUUCCCAAAAGUGGUUUUUUU